GUGGGGAAUAUUGGACAAUGGGCGAAAGCCUGAUCCAGCCAUGCCGCGUGUGUGAAGAAGGCCUUCGGGUUGUAAAGCACUUUAAGCGAGGAGGAAAGGUUGAAGGUUAAUACCCUUUAGCUGUGACGUUACUCGCAGAAUAAGCAACGGCAAACUUCGUGCCAGCAGCCGCGGUAAUACGAAGGGUGCAAGCGUUAAUCGGAAUUACUGGGCGUAAAGCGCGCGUAGGUGGUGAAGUAAGCGAUCUGUGAAAGCCCCGGGCUCAACCUGUGAAUUGCAAGUCGAACUGCUUGGCUAGAGUAUGGUAGAGGGGUGUGGAAUUCCAGGUGUAGCGGUGAAAUGCGUAGAUAUCUGGAGGAACAUCAGUGGCGAAGGCGACACCCUGGACCGAUACUGACACUGAGGUGCGAAAGCGUGGGUAGCGAACAGGAUUAGAAACCCCGGUAGUCC
rnacentral:rRNA from 1 species